UACAGAGGUCUCAAGCGUUCUUCGGAUUCAUUGGGCGUAAAGGGUGCGUAGGCGGCGCGGUAAGUCGGGUGUGAAAUCUCGGGGCUUAACUCCGAAACUGCAUUCGAUACUGCCGUGCUUGAGGACUGGAGAGGAGACUGGAAUUUACGGUGUAGCGGUGAAAUGCGUAGAUAUCGUAAGGAAGACCAGUGGCGAAGGCGGGUCUCUGGACAGUUCCUGACGCUGAGGCACGAAGGCUAGGGGAGCAAACGGG
rnacentral:rRNA from 1 species